rnacentral:rRNA from 1 species
AUUGAACGCUGGCGGCAGGCUCAACACAUGCAAGUCGAGCGGGGGAAGGUAGCUUGCUACCGGACCUAGCGGCGGACGGGUGAGUAAUGCUUAGGAAUCUGCCUAUUAGUGGGGGACAACAUCUCGAAAGGGAUGCUAAUACCGCAUACGUCCUACGGGAGAAAGCAGGGGAUCUUCGGACCUUGCGCUAAUAGAUGAGCCUAAGUCGGAUUAGCUAGUUGGUGGGGUAAAGGCCUACCAAGGCGACGAUCUGUAGCGGGUCUGAGAGGAUGAUCCGCCAGACUGGGACUGAGACACGGCCCAGACUCCUACGGGAGGCAGCAGUGGGGAAUAUUGGACAAUGGGGGGAACCCUGAUCCAGCCAUGCCGCGUGUGUGAAGAAGGCCUUAUGGUUGUAAAGCACUUUAAGCGAGGAGGAGGCUACUUUAGUUAAUACCUAGAGAUAGUGGACGUUACUCGCAGAAUAAGCACCGGCUAACUCUGUGCCAGCCGCCGCGGUAA